AGUGAACGCUGGCGGUAGGCCUAACACAUGCAAGUCGAACGGCAGCACAGUAAGAGCUUGCUCUUACGGGUGGCGAGUGGCGGACGGGUGAGGAAUACAUCGGAAUCUACUUUUUCGUGGGGGAUAACGUAGGGAAACUUACGCUAAUACCGCAUACGACCUACGGGUGAAAGCAGGGGAUCUUCGGACCUUGCGCGAUUGAAUGAGCCGAUGUCGGAUUAGCUAGUUGGCGGGGUAAAGGCCCACCAAGGCGACGAUCCGUAGCUGGUCUGAGAGGAUGAUCAGCAACACUGGAACUGAGACACGGUCCAGACUCAUACGGGAGGCAGCAGUGGGGAAUAUUGGACAAUGGGCGCAAGCCUGAUCCAGCCAUACCGCGUGGGUGAAGAAGGCCUUCGGGUUGUAAAGCCCUUUUGUUGGGAAAGAAAAGCAGCAGGUUAAUACCCCGCUGUUCUGACGGUACCCAAAGAAUAAGCACCGGCUAACUUCGUG
rnacentral:rRNA from 1 species